rnacentral:rRNA from 1 species
AUGUGCAUGGCAAUAAGCGUGCGGAGUACGACAGGUUGUUGCGUGAAGCCCGCCGGGAGAUCGACGCGAAGGUCCAACACGAACGUGAUGAGAUGGACAGCGCACUCAAACAAUAACGUGCGUAUGUCGAUAGGAUGCUUAAGGAUGAGCGUGCUGAUAUGUCUCAGAAGAUUAAGCAGAUGCGUGAAGAGAUGGAAAAAAAGUUAA